UACGUAGGGUGCGAGCGUUGUCCGGAAUUAUUGGGCGUAAAGAGCUCGUAGGCGGUUUGUCACGUCUGCUGUGAAAUCCCGAGGCUCAACCUCGGGCCUGCAGUGGGUACGGGCAGACUGGAGUGCGGUAGGGGAGAAUGGAAUUCCUGGUGUAGCGGUGAAAUGCGCAGAUAUCAGGAGGAACACCGGUGGCGAAGGCGGUUCUCUGGGCAUGAUCUGACGCUGAGGAGCGAAAGUGUGGGGAGCGAACAGG
rnacentral:rRNA from 1 species